GUCGGUGUUGAUGGCGAAGAGGGUCCACCCGUUCCCAUACCGAACACGGUAGUUAAGCUCUUCUGUGCUGAAGAUACUUGGCGGGCAGCCGCCCGGGAAAAUAAGGCGAUGCCGACA
rnacentral:rRNA from 1 species